rnacentral:lncRNA from 1 species
GAUGAAGACCAGUGCCAGAGGAAAAGUGAGUCAUGGAGAGAGACCUACUCUUCAGACACCUCCACCGGCCUACUGUCUGCAGUCUGCUUACACGGGAAGACUAAAGGCACUGCGUAUGAUGUACUACAGGUGAAGAAGACAACACCCAACAGUCGGGGGGACCAGCAGAACCCAUUAUGUACUGGAGGUAUAAAGAGGAAGAGAGGUGAUGACCCUUUGGAGGUAGCUUCUCUCCAGCCCGGUACACUGUGCUCACAGGAAACCGAGAUGCAAGUGGAGAAUUCCCACAUUAUGACAAAGGAAACAGGAACACAGACUGACAGGGCUUUGACAAGACACACAUCUGAUAUUUCAGUGCAGUGCAACUUGGGUCAGGAGUGUGACAAACACAUGGGGACAGAAAGAGUCAGUCUGCCUGCUGUUCCCCAUGAGCACAUCACCACCACAGACAUGCCCACCAGGGGGAAACUUGCUCAAGGUGACAACCUGCUGGAAUCGGCAUUUUGUGCUCCAGUUCCACACAGGAACGGAGCUGAGAAGUAUCCGCAAUGGAGGAAGUCCUCAGCAGGGGCGCCAUGCCACCUGAGGUGUGGUGUGACAGGACAGACUUCCCUUUGCAGUGAAAGAGAGGUCCAUCACAUUUCUGAUGAGCAUGCUGUCCUGAAGAGCAGCACAAUGCCCCAUCUAAAGCACAUCAUUGUAAACAAUACUGAAGAAUGGAGAGGGGAACUGAAAACAGAACGAACUGAAGGAGCAGAGAACACAGUACAAUCAGCUGGGCUCAGUGCACACGUGCUACACGACCCUGCUGAAGGUGUGAAUGAGGCGAGCAAAGACGAGCUUGGAGCUGACGGGAUGACAUUCACACGUUCCGAAGAGAUGGUGGUGCUGCAGAAGAUAGCUAACAUACUCUUAAUGCUGAAAGAAAAGAGUGGCUCAAAGUAAAGGAGGAAAGAGGUACACUUCUGGACUGAUUGUGAGCAUUCUGGUGUUAGAACUUAAUUCAACAUGCUUUAACUCGCUGUAAAGCUGCAGGGAGUUUGCAAUAUUAGGGAAAAAAAGUCAUUUUGUGGACUCAUUUUUUAUUAAAGCAAAACCAAACAGUGAUUUGUUGUUCAUUUACAUACUCAAGUUAGAUUUCAUGAAUAAAGUUUUUAUACAAAGAUAAAUUCUAGUAAAA